UCUCUAUACUUGUCUUUACUUUAUAGUAUUUGUUUCGUAACAACAACAUUAAUUUUCAUCUUCCCUCCAAAAGCUAAGUUCUUAUUUUCCAUUUCCCUCUCUUCGCUAACUUCAUUCGCCUUCAUCAAAAUUUCAAACUCUUUCCUCAACCACUUGAUUUCACUCUACUUUUCCUUCCACCCUACCAAAACAAUUAUCUCCGUAAAAUUCUCCUUGUUGCGAUCGAAGAGUAAGGUAUAUCUGUUAAGGUGAGAAGGGGAAGCAAAAUUAAGUACAACAAAUUGGGAGGAGAAACCCUAAGGUGACUCACAUAGUUAAGGUAUUUGUUAAAAUGUCAAAACCAGUUGCAUUCAUAUAUCUGCCUUCAAAAUUACGUAGCUUGUGAUGUAAUCAUGAGGACUAUUUUACCAGGUACAGAAGGAGUGCAAGCGGGCUGCUCGACCAACGUAGCUGCUCAUAUUUUGUGAAUGCUGGGGGCACAAUUAAUUUAUAUAAGAGUUUCGGGAUGUAUAUGCAGACACAUAUACACAAUUUUUGCCGAGGCUAUCGGGUGCUGGUGACCCCUCUACUCACAAGCCGAUUAACAUUGGUUCCUCUUCUAAAAGAACUUAUGGAAAAUGAAAUCCAAAGUAUAAAUAUUCAGGUAAAGACCAACUCCUCAAGCCACCAUUGUCUUGUAUUUUAUUUUUUUCUACUGUAUUAAUCAAUUUCUUCUCAAUUUCCAAAUGAACUAUUGUGCAUUCGUUGUGUAUGCUCGAGGAACAAGUGAGAAAUUGCUGGUAAUUUGCCAUCUCCCUGAACAAGUCAACCAAUUUUUCUAUUAUUUGCCUUGCUGUUAUUCUUCCAGUUUGUAUUGCUUUUUUCCUUUUUUUUCUCACCCAUUUGUCUACAUAUUAACUUUCUUCCUAGGAAUCCUGUGCUGUUACACUAUCACACUUUCUUGAAAAUUGAGUUUCAAGUAAGUAUAUUUCAGCAUCCUAUCUGUACUCUUAAAUCUUAAAAUUGAAAUCCUAUUAUUUUGUGUUGGGACUUUGACAUUAUCCAACUUGAGACUGUUUAAUAUGGACAUGUUUGAUGCUAGUUUUUAUUUUACUUUUAAUCAUCCCUUGCUUCAGAACUCUGAUCCAAAUUUACUUUCAAAUCUUCUUUAAAGAACAAACAUUAUUGCAUUGUGAUUUAUUUGCUUAGCUAAUCCCAUUUAACAUUUAAAUAAGCACAUGAGAUGAUGUUUCUUGAUCUCUUGAUAUUCUUUUUUUGUUACAUAUACACUGCUACUUCUGUUUUGGGCUGAGAUAUACCAUUAAGUAAUCCUAUUUGAUUCUCAAAGGUCCUUAAGAAUUACUCAGACAAGAUUUUCCAUGGGAUCAUGUCGAAUUGUUUGCUAAUUAUUUUUGCCAUGGAAAAUUUUGUACUUAUUUUAAUCGUUUUCAUCACGGGUCAAGCCUUACUCAUUGCUUAUUGUUUCUUCUCAGGUAAGAGACCUUCCCAUUGAUAUACUUUGACAUAAUAUGCAGUUAAUUACUAAACUACUCUUUAUCUCGGAUCAGUUUCUAUAUAUCUCUGAGUCUGCAGUUUAUUUUGUUGUGUUAUACUAGAGGUUCUAGGAAAAAUUGACAAUAAUACAGAUGCACAUACUGUGGUUAUAAAGAUUAUGAUUUAACAUAUGCUGCUUCUAUCCAUUGACUACUAUUCUAUUGUAACUGAUUUCGACGGCUUCUAUCUCAAAACUAAGAUGAUAGUACUGUCUUACAUGAGCCACACAAAACUAAAGUUGUUCAUUUUCCUCUUGAUUGUUGAAAGUUAGAAAACAAUAGGUUCUACAUUCAACAUAUGUAUAUUGAGAUGUAAGAAGUAGAUCAUCCUUCAAGUGAUUCUAACUGAAACCUUGUUACUUGUUUUACUUAAGCAAUUGUUGGUGUCUUUUAGAGUAUUUGGAAGGGAGCAUUAUCCUUGUGUUUCUUUAUUUUAUUGUACUUCUCUUUUACCUAUUUCUUUUUAUACUUUUUUUCAACCAACUUAUUUGGUUUAUCUUGUAAUAUUAUUUCCACUGGUUAAUAAUUGAAAUUCUGAUUCUCUUGGAGAAAAAUUUCCUUGUCAUCAUAGAUUCAGUUAUUGGUAUUUGCUCAAUGAUGACAUGCAAGUACUGAUCCUUGACGAUUUUGCAGAUGAAAACUAACAAGUGUAGUAUGUGAAAGGAGAAGAUGUAGAGAUGACUGUAUUGUGGAAGACAAGCAAAAGAAGUUCAGCAUAGGAAGACACUAUUGUGAUCAAGAUUUGCAGAAACCGGGUGUUGGAGAAAUGUUAAUAGGCUAACUACUGUCUUGGAUUAUGAAUAUUUGAUGAUAGUAGUUAUUUGACUCAUACUGAUACUAGCUUUCGAAUUCAAAUGAUGUAUUUUUUUUAUGUUGUUGACACUCUUGCAAUAUCAAGGUGAAUUUAAAGAAAUAUAUUGUCUUUUAGGAUGAAA